GGAGGAGGGAGGAAGGAGAGCGAAGGAAAAAAGUUUCCCGGCUGUCCAUCAUGGAGCUAUCAGAGUGUUAUCUGUGCCAGACGCCCACCAUCCUCAGCAGCGAUACUGAGACAGCAUCCAGGACCUCAGGACGCCGCGGGAAACACAGCAGGACACCAAGAGAGGUGUGACAACGUCAGAGUAUGCAGCAGGCGUGGAACACACAUGUAAGUGCACACAUACGAGGACACACAAUAAGCGCUCAUUUCCACACACAUACAGACAAAAAGACAAGCACUUACACCAUCUGAUAACACAAAAACUGUCACGCCUACACAAAGCAGACACUAGGAAUGCUGUAAGACAUGUAUCAGAGUGGCGAUAGCUUUAAUAGAAUUUACUUGGAAAAACAACAGACUUAAAGUUAAGUAUAUCAAGGUGGAUGACACUUUACUUGACGCCUAUCUCUAUAACCGUAAUAAAUAUAUGUAUAAUGCGUUAUAAUCACAUUAUAGCACUGCAUAACUAUAGUUAUAAACACUCGUUAAUGAUCAUAAUGCUUUAUAGCAAUAAUCAGUCAGGUAUUAUAAUGUGUUAUGUUUAUUGUUAUAAAGCCUUAUGAUAAUUAAUUAGUGUUUAUAAUGAUCGUUAUACAAGUUUAUAAGCAAAUUAUAACACAUUAUAAAUAUAUGUAUAAUGCAUUAUCUAUGUGGGCAUUGUCAGUGAGUUUUUAACAGUUAUAACACAUUAUAAUACCCAACCCUUUAAGUCAUGAUAAAAUGCUUUAUAAUGUCUGGACAUAUAAAGCAUUAUGAUCAUUUAUGAGUGUUUAUAACUAUAGUUAUACAGUGCUAUAACAUGAUUACAAUGCAUUAUACAUAUAUUUAUAAUGCGUUAUGGAGAUAGGCGUCAAGUAAAGUGUUACCAAAACAUGCAAAAAUGUUGCCCCUUUUUUAUUGCUAGUAAACCUUUAACAGCUUCUGUCAAUAAAUUAAACCAUACCUCAAUUAAAACAGAAAAAAAGAUAAGUCAAAGAGAUAACUAUGACACAAAUACUCCAAUUGCACCAAAGCAUUAAAGCAACUUUUAAAAAAAACGUGUGCUUAGUCAGUUUACGUGACUCCCUUGACCCAGUAGUGAGUCUAUUACCUUUGCUGAUCCUGCCCCGUGUGCUUUGGUUGUAUUUUCUGAUGAUCAACCUUCACCCCUUCUUCUGCUAAAAGCACGUCCAGUCUGCUUGUUGUGACACAGUGACAGAGGUAAUAAACAUUAAAUAUGACUAUAAAUGAAAUAUCAAGUUCAACCUGACAAACUCUUCACAGUAUGGAGACAUAAAUCUAGAAAAAGAGAGAAGAGGGGAAAAUAAAUUAAAUGAAGAGACACUCGUUCAAGCCGAGCAUUUCCUGCCAACGCUGCAGCAUAAGAAGAAAAAGAAGAAAACAGAUACAGCGAGUCCAAAAAUCACUUGGAAAAAAAACUGCUAGUGCAUGUUGUUCAAUAUUUGGAAGACUUGGUGACUGUCUGCUCAAAUAUUGCCCCAUGGCUGUUGGGCUUGAGAGAGGGAACAGAGUGGCAGUGAGACUGACAGUGAGAUCUCUGUCAGUAGCCAACACUCUGUUUAUCCGUCUGUCUGUCUGUCUGUCUGUUUAUGUGACUGUCAAAUUAUCCCUCUCAGCAAACAGCUCGCCAUGAGCCCAAUGUAAAUAACACGGUCAACGACGGUCACGUGAGCCAGCUGGUCCGGCUCCUGUCUGGUCAGCUGAGCUGUCACACAGGCCGCGUUCAAAGGAGAAACGCCUGGCUAUAGUUGAAGUGGUGAGCUGAUUUUGUGAGCAAAUAUUAGACUUUUUGUGAUGUGGCUGGUGACACUUUGUUUGAAUUGCAUAGUAAGGUAUACUUUUGCGCUAAACAUGUGUAGCUGGAACUAAACUGUGUGUGAAAGAGAUGUUAAAUCACUCUAAAUAAGAAGUACGCGUCUGAAGAAAAGGAUCAAGAACGACUCUCACUCUAGACAUACACUUUUUCAUGCUGUUAGUUUAUAUAUAUAUGUGUCUGUUUCCAAAACGACUGGUCUCACCUGAACAUUACAGGCCUGUUUGCUUGCAAUUUUCCCUCAUGCCACAGUAUAUACAACAAAUUACACCGGUUAGCCCUGUGACUGACAGAAGCUUUCAUUAAAAUCAGAUCAUCCUGGAUGAAAAUAUCCUCUGUUGAAAAUCUCGAUUCCAUGCGGAUUACACAGCAAACAUACAGCAGGCAGACAUAAACAGACACACAUCAGUGCUGUGAUUCAUGAAUCCCCUCAUCGUUGUUCAAAUGAUCUCUCUUUACAUAAAAAAAAAUCUUCCCUGAUGUCUUUCUCGUCAGCUUUUAAGAUAAACGGCUUCAACGUAAAGCAUGCCAGAAUCCAUUAUGAAUGCCUACAUGAGUGACUGACAGGUCAUACUGAAAGAAAUCAACUGUGGUGUGGAUGUUUGGGGAAAAGGUGUACAUUUUUUUUAGUACAAGAGAGAAAACCUGGCGCCUUCAGAAGAGACAAACAGAAGUUUUGACACAGAUGCUACAUGCAUCUUCUGUAGACUGUAUAUACGAUGGACAACUUGGUUCCGCCUUUCGCCAGUAAACGGAUUUAAAGCAGAAAAGCUCGCAGUAUUUCUGUGAUUUUUCUCCACUUUCUGAAACCAACAUUGCGCAGUAGCAUUGCACACAAUCUCCGUACGCCCAUAGGUUUUAUCAAGUGUCAAUCAUAGAAAACAUGAACCUCCUAAUAACUUAAAAAUUGAGCUGUACAGAAAAAAGAGGACUUAAGCUCAAACCAGUCUGACAUGAAAUCUCCAAAAUCCGGCAACUGGACUGUGUAGAGUUGAGAAGACGUUUCGCCGCUUAUCCAAGAAGCUUCUUUAGUUCUAAAAGUGUUAGUGGGGGGAGCUGGUGUUUCAACUCUACACAGUCCAGUUGCCAGAUUUUGGAGAUUUCGAGAAAAACCAUGACCUGGAUGAAUGAGAAUCUACAUGAACAACCAGUAUUACAAUAACUACAUGUCAACAUCGCAAGCAGGGGGGAGAAAAAUUAUAUUCUGUGUAAUAAAUUUCUAAAGUUUGUCCACAGCUCCAUAGGGAUGGAUGGAUACUGCAGCUUGUCGUCAGAGUGUGCUGUUCUUGGG